rnacentral:lncRNA from 1 species
CCUCACUGAAUUCUCUCACCCACCCUGAAGGGUAGGCUUUUUACAGAUGAGGACACUGCGACACAAACAAGGCCACAGGUAAGUGUGUGAAGAGCCAGGACUUGAAGUGAACCACCCUGUUCUGAGCCUCCGCCUGAACACAGUCCUGCAGGACAUGUGUCAUCUUCCCUCCAGAGUUGGCUUUCCCAGUGUCCGUGAGCACGAGCCCUACCUGUUACUCUACCCUCAACUCCGUUCCUAAACUGCCUUGCCUUUGGGACUUUCCACAUCUUGUUCCUCCACUGGCUUUUUUUUUUUUUUUUCUGGUCAUUUCUAUCCCAAGUGUUCAGCUCCAAGGCACCUUGUCCAGGAAGUCCUGCACUGAGCUUUACAUAUAAGAAAGUCUUAGUUUUUGUUGUUGAACUGAGUAAACCCACAGCAAUGAGCUGGCACCUCAAUUCCAAACAGGUGUCUCUAUUGCCAGGUCCACAGGACUCGGGUUGGGGGCAGGUCUGCAGCCUAAGGUCCCUUAAGAUCUGAAGAUCAGACAGAAAAUGACUUUUCUUCCUACCUCCUAUCCAGCCUCACACCAAUCUCCUAGUUCUGUGAUUGGGAAACUGAGGCCCAGUGGGCAGAGACUUUCCUAAGGUCAAGCUCAAAACUGCCCCCAGACUCGUGGUCCACUGCUCUCUGUCCUCCUUGCCCAGUUGGCUUCUGUCAGACCCAGGAGGAUGACAGCCCUUCCAUUCAUUUACUCAACAAAUAUUUACCAAGUGCUGGACAAUGCCAAACUCUGGGGCUACAGUAGGGAACAAAACAGAGCUUGUCCUUGACUUCAGGGAGUUCACAGCUUAGACCAUGAGGAACAGUUAUUGGGGUCUUAGGGUCAUUGAAGGAACUUUUGAAGACCUAUGGGAAGCUAUCAGUGGUUUUAGAUGGCAAAGCACUGUCCCUCCUCCAUUCCAGCCAUCCUCAGCUAGGGUGAGUAGCCUUUCCAAAGUCCAGCAGGGUUGGGGAGGAGAAUGUGGCUGUCCCUGGGGCCCAGGACCUGGUUCUUGACUACCCCUUUUCAGCAAGCCACUGCUCAGGCCAGGCCUGACAGUCCUCUCAAACUGUGGUCUCAGCUGCUUGGGAGGCAGCUUACAGCUUUAAGCCCAAGGGACACCUGCCCACUAUGGGGUUGGGAGGAUAGCUGUCAUGCAACUGAAGUGGCUUCUCAGGGAGCACUGCAGAGUGAAAGCCUUAGUGGCCACACAAUCAGAGCAAUGAGAAUGGAGCCUUCCUCAGGGUCCAGCAGCCAUCAUUAGGCAGCCUAGCACUGGGGUUCAGCCGGCACGAGGGAGGCAUGUUACAGAUGGUGAACAUAGCCGAGAUCCCCCAGUUACAGGUUCCCAGGGUCUCAGAAUUGGAAAGAACCUUAGAUAUCACCUGUCUCAGCCUCCCAUCUACUACGAGACUCCUCCCCACAGUGAGUGAGUUCUGGAAGAGGGUCUACACAAUUGCACGCCUUUGGAAGAGAAGCAGCUCUGGACUUCAUAGAGGAAUCAAUUCAUUUUUCCAGCCAAUCUACGUCUUCUGAUUUCAUCCCUCUAUUGAGUUGAAGUCGUCUUCUCUGCAAUUUCUUUCCUCAAUUC